GGGGCUGAGUUGGUUUCGACAUUUAAAAUUUAGUAAAGUAUGAGGCAGGUCGAAGCUUGUAUUCUUCGUAAAAAUCUACAAAAUUAACAAUAAAUGCUAAUAAUAUAAUUCCUUUUAACUUUAGAACUGCGCAAAACUAUUCAAAUUCUUUAAGCUUUGCUGUUUAAAUUCUAAAAAAUUCUAUUAGAUAAAUUUGUUCGCUAAUCUCUGGACGUUUCUGUCCUUAAUAGUUUAGAAUAAUAUAUAAAUCGUUCAUAAAUUAUGAACUAAACCUGUGAAUGAGUAUUUUAUUAACAUUUAAAUGGACAUGGGUUCAAUUCCCAUCAGCUCCACC
rnacentral:tmRNA from 14 species